rnacentral:misc_RNA from 1 species
UGGCUGGCCCUAUAAAAUUCAAAUAAUUUUAUUUUUCUUCGAAAACAAAAUUAAAACUUUCAACAACGGAUCUCUUGGUUCUCGCAUCGAUGAAGAACGCAGCGAAUCGCGAUACGUGGUAUGACUUGCAGACGUGAAUCAUUGAAUCUUUGAACGCACAUUGCGCCUGGAGGCAUUCCUCCAGGCAUGCCUGUUUGAGCGUCGUUUUUCCUCCACCAGCAAUGGUUGGUUAUGCGGCCCUAAAAAUCACAAUUGACGAUUUACACUCUCGACCUCAAAUCAG